UACGUAGGGACCAAGCGUUGUUCGGAUUUACUGGGCGUAAAGGGCGCGUAGGCGGCAAUUCAAGUCAUCUGUGAAAUCUCCGGGCUUAACUCGGAACGGUCAGAUGAUACUGCUUUGCUAGAGUGCGGAAGGGGCAAUCGGAAUUCUUGGUGUAGCGGUGAAAUGCGUAGAUAUCAAGAGGAACACCUGAGGUGAAGACGGGUUGCUGGGCCGACACUGACGCUGAGUGCGCGAAAGCCAGGGGAGCAAACGGG
rnacentral:rRNA from 1 species